rnacentral:tRNA from 1 species
AGGAGCCACUGGGAUUUGAACCCAGGACCUGAGGAUCUGCAAUCCUCCGCUCUGCCGCUGAGCUAUAACUCC